CACGUAGGGCGCAAGCGUUGUCCGGAAUUAUUGGGCGUAAAGGGCGCGUAGGCGGCCGAUCAAGUCGGAGGUGAAAUCCCUCGGCUCAACUGAGGAAUUGCCUUCGAUACUGUUCGGCUUGAGUCCUGGAGAGGGUAGCGGAAUUCCCGGUGUAGCGGUGAAAUGCGUAGAGACCGGGAAGAACACCAGUGGCGAAGGCGGCUACCUGGACAGGUACUGACGCUGAAGCGCGAAAGCUAGGGGAGCAAACAGG
rnacentral:rRNA from 1 species